UACGGGGGGGGCAAGCGUUGUUCGGAAUUACUGGGCGUAAAGGGCUCGUAGGCGGCCAACUAAGUCGGACGUGAAAUCCCCAGGCUCAACCUGGGAACUGCGUCUGAUACUGGAUGGCUUGAAUCCGGGAGAGGGAUGCAGAAUUCCAGGUGUAGCGGUGAAAUGCGUAGAUAUCUGGAGGAAUACCGGUGGCGAAGGCGGCAUCCUGGACCGGCAUUGACGCUGAGACGCGAAAGCGUGGGGAGCAAACAGG
rnacentral:rRNA from 1 species